GGAAUCCUCUCUUUUUUAUUUCUGAUGUAAAAGGAGAACAAAAUGGUAGAAAAAUUCACACAAAUAGCAUGUGUUUGGACACGCAAAGGAGGGCAAUAAAUGGCAUGUGCUCAUUUAAUGGAGAGAGAGAGAGAGAGGAGAUGUUACAAGGACAGCGUUCCCACUCGGACCCCAUUAAUGAUUGCAGUAAACGAUGGAGCCGUUGAAGCAGGUCACCUGUCCAUCCAACACCUUCCCCACCAUAUUUACAUAUUUAGGCUUGACCAGAAUUCACAUAGCAUCCAUCUCAUCUCUCCCCCGUCUCCUCAAAAUACUAUUAGGGCUUUCUCCUGCAUGCAAGAAAAAUUAUAAAGCACCAGCACAAGGUCUUGCUUUACUGGUUCGCUGGUAAACUUGGGGGUAAUUAACACUAAUCAUAUGCAUUUUUAUGGUCAUGCUUUUAAUAGGGGCUUUUGUUGCAACAUAGUCAUCUAAACAUCUCAAAGAGAACACCAUUAGAAUAAGGAUCGCAUGGCAAUUAUCAGCAUAGUCUCGAAGAUGUGAAAUUCACAGAAAUAUUGCAAACUUGACUGACACUACCUGCUAAGGAAAAGGAAUGUACAUGUUAUCAGAUUUCAAUCCUGGACGAGGAAGAGGAAAGAAUACAUUAC
rnacentral:misc_RNA from 1 species